UGGCUCAGUGGUAGAGCGCUUGCCUUGCAUGCAUGAGGCCAUGGGUUCAAUUCACAGU
rnacentral:tRNA from 1 species